CAGCCGUCAGCUCUAGCAAUGAGGCCCUGACAGUCUUCUCCUUCCGGUCUUUUCAACUUCAACCGCGAGAGCGAGACACAGCUAUCUACUGCGAGAGCGCUGGAGAGGAGAAAAUUUCCGUGUACAAAUAAGAAAAAGGAAAAAAAACACCGAAUCGCCUUAUCAGCCGUGAGUCUGGAGCAGAGCGACGAGGCGAAUCACGUCGGUUAGCUUGUUACUGCACCUUGUGAGCUGCGGAAAGCGCCAAAAUCAACACGCUCAGCUUUGAAACCGGAGCAACGGUCAGGUUUUUGGAGUGGACUACAAAUCCUGUGGACUGGACGAGAUCCCGAUGGCGAGCCAAAGGACCUUGGAAGAGAGAUAAACAUUAGAACACUCCCACAUACAUUCACGUCGAACUAUCAGACUUAAAUCAGGUGCACCUGCAACAAUUCAUAAGGGCCCCAACGAACAAUCCUCAGACAAUUCUUUCCUGUGUGCACACAUUUUUUUUAUUUUUUCCUUUUCUCCGGGGGGGUUAUUAAAUUGUAUGUUUUACUUGUUGGCCUGUAGGCCUAGUUCUGUAAACAAUACAUGAGUCACUACUCAACAGUUAACCCUGCAUCAGCCAUUAUUGUUGCUCAAAUCCUUGGCUCCAACCGAAUCUAAACCUUCUGGUGCUUGUCGUUGUCCUGUUAUCAUACUGCUACAGUGUGAUCAA